rnacentral:rRNA from 1 species
UACGAAGGGGGCUAGCGUUGCUCGGAAUCACUGGGCGUAAAGCGCACGUAGGCGGCUUUCUAAGUCAGGGGUGAAAUCCUGGAGCUCAACUCCAGAACUGCCUUUGAUACUGGAGAGCUCGAGUCCGGAAGAGGUGAGUGGAACUCCUAGUGUAGAGGUGAAAUUCGUAGAUAUUAGGAAGAACACCAGUGGCGAAGGCGGCUCACUGGCCCGGUACUGACGCUGAUGCGCGAAAGCGUGGGGAGCAAACAGG